rnacentral:rRNA from 1 species
AGAGUUUGAUCAUGGCUCAGAUUGAACGCUGGCGGCAUGCUUAAUACAUGCAAGUCGAACGGUAACAGGUCCUUCGGGAUGCUGACGAGUGGCGGACGGGUGAGUAAUGCAUAGGAAUCUGCCCAGUAGUAGGGGACAACCUGAGGAAACUCAGGCUAAUACCGUAUAAGCCCUACGGGAGAAAGGGGGCCUCUUCUUGAAAGCUCUCGCUAUUGGAUGAGCCUAUGUCGGAUUAGCUUGUUGGUGGGGUAACGGCCUACCAAGGCGACGAUCCGUAGCUGGUCUGAGAGGACGAUCAGCCACACUGGGACUGAGACACGGCCCAGACUCCUACGGGAGGCAGCAGUAGGGAAUAUUGGACAAUGGGCGAAAGCCUGAUCCAGCAAUGCCGCGUGUGUGAAGAAGGCCUGCGGGUUGUAAAGCACUUUCAGUUGGGAAGAAAAUCUUUAGGUUAAUAUCCUAAAGUCUUGACGUUACCAACAGAAGAAGCACCGGCUAACUCUGUGCCAGCAGCCGCGGUAAUACAGAGGGUGCGAGCGUUAAUCGGAAUUACUGGGCGUAAAGCGUGCGUAGGCGGUUAAGUCAGUCGGAUGUGAAAGCCCAAGGCUUAACCUUGGAACGGCAUUCGAUACUGCUUAGCUAGAGUACAGUAGAGGGAAGC